AGUCGCAACCAUACUAUGUUGAAAACACUGGUGCUCGUUCGAACACCGAAGUUAAGUAACAUUGGGUCCAGUUAUACUUGUGCUUC
rnacentral:rRNA from 1 species